rnacentral:rRNA from 1 species
GAUGAACGCUGGCGGCGUGCCUAAUACAUGCAAGUCGAGCGAACAGACGAGGAGCUUGCUCCUCUGACGUUAGCGGCGGACGGGUGAGUAACACGUGGAUAACCUACCUAUAAGACUGGGAUAACUUCGGGAAACCGGAGCUAAUACCGGAUAAUAUAUUGAACCGCAUGGUUCAAUAGUGAAAGACGGUUUUGCUGUCACUUAUAGAUGGAUCCGCGCCGCAUUAGCUAGUUGGUAAGGUAACGGCUUACCAAGGCAACGAUGCGUAGCCGACCUGAGAGGGUGAUCGGCCACACUGGAACUGAGACACGGUCCAGACUCCUACGGUAGGCAGCAGUAGGGAAUCUUCCGCAAUGGGCGAAAGCGUGACGGAGCAACGCCGCGUGAGUGAUGAAGGUCUUCGGAUCGUAAAACUCUGUUAUUAGGGAAGAACAAAUGUGUAAGUAACUAUGCACGUCUUGACGGUACCUAAUCAGAAAGCCACGGCUAACUACGUG